rnacentral:lncRNA from 1 species
AGCGGCGUGUGGAUCCCAAGCACUGCAAACACCCCCCACUGUGUGAACUGCUUUAUUGACGAAGGAAACAACAAGCCCACUAAAAAAAGGAAACAGGUAAUCAGAACCAACAUCACGACAUUACAGUGAGAGUAAUAAAAAGAGGCUUGGAGAAAAUGUCCGCGGGGAGGGGGGACAGUCCCCAGCCACGUUCCCUUUUCAGCUCCGUCAGCAGGAAAACAGGACGACCAACAUCUCCCCCCAUAAAGAUUGCUUCAACAGUGCGUAUUGAGCGUGUACACACACACGUGCACUAUUUUUCUAUCAGUUUAUUUUUUUCUUUGAUGUGACUGAGUGAGACUUCACCACUGUGGCAACGAACACUGAAGGGGGGGAGGGGGUGGGGGGUGGACAGAAGAGUUCAGUCAGAGUCCCUCUGUCCGGCGGUCUCUUCACGUGGCUCCAGAGAGUCCCGCUGCCAUCUGUGGCUUCCUAUUGGACAGAAGAAAGGCACCUGCUCCCCCCACAGACACAAGGCGACCAGGCGUCAGCCUCCUGCUGGACAUUCAGAGCUCAUGUGGAACAGGAACGGUUGGAGGGGGCAAAUGAGCAUCUGGUGGAGCCCCCCCUCCGUUUCCAUGGAGAUGCCAACAAGUCGUCUGCACUUCAUUGGGAGGAGGAGGAGGAGUUGGAGCAAAACGAGUCCAAACUCCUCAUAGGACCCAUUCAGAGCCCCCCCCCACACAACAACAACUCCACCGUGUGUGCACGUACGUGCACGUGUGGUGGAGGAAGAGGAGCAGGAGUGGACAGUUACUCCAAGGAAGAAAAGAUGACCGGUGUGCUUCUGGUUGGAGCUCCUUCUGCAAGGCAGGCUCCUCCCUAAAUGUCAGGCUCCUCCUACAAGAUAGGCUCCUCCUCCAUGGGCUCCUCUGUAGACCUGCACACACAACAUUGCACACUGAGUAAAAGUCUAUCACUAAAUCCUAAACAAACAGCAGCUGCCAAUGAUUUUCACUAUUUUGCACGUUUUUCACAAUGAAUAAAUAAUUCAGGAACAAAGUCUUACAGACCCAUGAAAAGGCUGUUUUUAACA